rnacentral:rRNA from 1 species
GACGAACGCUGGCGGCGUGCCUAAUACAUGCAAGUAGAACGCUGAAGAGAGGAGCUUGCUCUUCUUGGAUGAGUUGCGAACGGGUGAGUAACGCGUAGGUAACCUGCCUUGUAGCGGGGGAUAACUAUUGGAAACGAUAGCUAAUACCGCAUAACAAUGGAUGACUCAUGUCAUUUAUUUGAAAGGGGCGAAUGCUCCACUACAAGAUGGACCUGCGUUGUAUUAGCUAGUAGGUGAGGUAACGGCUCACCUAGGCGACGAUACAUAGCCGACCUGAGAGGGUGAUCGGCCACACUGGGACUGAGACACGGCCCAGACUCCUACGGGAGGCAGCAGUAGGGAAUCUUCGGCAAUGGGGGCAACCCUGACCGAGCAACGCCGCGUGAGUGAAGAAGGUUUUCGGAUCGUAAAGCUCUGUUGUAAGUCAAGAACGAGUGUGAGAGUGGAAAGUUCACACUGUGACGGUAGCUUACCAGAAAGGGACGGCUAACUACGUGCCAGCAGCCGCGGUAAUACGUAGGUCCCGAGCGUUGUCCGGAUUUAUUGGGCGUAAAGCGAGCGCAGGCGGUUUGAUAAGUCUGAAGUUAAAGGCUGUGGCUCAACCAUAGUUCGCUUUGGAAACUGUCAAGCUUGAGUGCAGAAGGGGAGAGUGGAAUUCCAUGUGUAGCGGUGAAAUGCGUAGAUAUAUGGAGGAACACCGGUGGCGAAAGCGGCUCUCUGGUCUGUAACUGACGCUGAGGCUCGAAAGCGUGGGGAGCGAACAGG